GACAGAGGUGCCGAGCGUUAGGCGGAAUCACUGGGCUUAAAGCGUGUGUAGGCGGGUCCGUAAGUACCUUGUGAAAUCCCACGGCUCAACCGUGGAACUGCUUGGUAUACUGCGGGUCUUGAGCCACCUAGGGGCAAGCGGAACAAGCGGUGGAGCGGUGAAAUGCGUAGAUAUCAGGAGGAACACCGAUGGCGAAGGCAGGUCUCUGGGCUGACACUGACGCUCAUGCACGAAAGCGUGGGGAGCAAACAGG
rnacentral:rRNA from 1 species